CGCCAGCAGCCGCGGUAAUACGUAGGGUGCGAGCGUUAAUCGGAAUUACUGGGCGUAAAGCGUGCGCAGGCGGUUCGUUAAGUCAGAUGUGAAAGCCCCGGGCUCAACCUGGGAAUGGCAUUUGAAACUGGCGGGCUGGAGUGUGGCAGAGGGGGGUGGAAUUCCGCGUGUAGCAGUGAAAUGCGUAGAGAUGCGGAGGAACACCGAUGGCGAAGGCAGCCCCCUGGGCCAACACUGACGCUCAGGCACGAAAGCGUGGGGAGCAAACAGGAUUAGAUACCCUGGUAGUCCACGCCCUAAACGAUGUCAACUGGGUGUUGGGGGAGAGAUCCCUUGGUACCGUAGCUAACGCGUGAAGUUGACCGCCUGGGGAGUACGGCCGCAAGGUUAAAACUCAAAGGAAUUGGCGGGGGA
rnacentral:rRNA from 1 species